rnacentral:lncRNA from 1 species
GCACAGACUGUGGAGGAGACCAGGAGGGAAUCUGUCCCUCUCUGGAUGAGCUGCAGCUCCACACUGCCAAACCACUUCCCAGAGAACCCACAUUUGUGUGGCAUGGCCCCAGGCCACCCAGCUGCUGCUUACAGGGCUAUUUCUAAACACCGCCUGCCUGCUCCAAACCUCAGCCUUGCUGAGUGCCAAGAGGAGCUCAGACUGGCCCUGCUCAGCGGAGGAUGCAAAUCUCCAGCAGUGAGAGGAGGCAGGAGGCCUCCCUGCUACAUAGCAGCAUGGUGCUCCAGGGGAAUAAAUGCUGCAGGUGCUGGGAGCUCUUUGCAGUACCCUGGAGCCCUGCUCUAGCAUGGAACCCGCAGCACAACACAGCAGCUUCUUCACGAAGUGCCUUCCCAGCACACUACGUGGCUCCUUCCUGGGGCUGGGGACACACGAUGAGCACGGAGCACUCCUACCUGCUCUUGUCUGCCGGUGCUUGGGGGUGGCAAACCGGUCCCACUGAGCAACAAUGAUGGCGGAGAUGCCCAAGACGCAGACAAUGGAGAGGUAGAUGAGUCUUGGCUGCGGGGAGCAGUAGAACGAAUAAUAGAGCCAGGGGACGAAGCUCCCCAUGAUCAGCAGUGCAAUUCCUGAAUAAUCCAACCUGCAGCCAGGGUACAAUGAGAGAUACAUGCAAGUGAGCCCCAAAGUCUGCCUCCUCCUGCAUGCUCUGCACUUGGUGCUGUGCAGUCUGUGCACCCAGAGUCACCACCACCACAGAGCAGCCAUGACCCCACGAGUAAAACUGCAUCAGGCAACAGAUGUUCAAGUCUCAUCAGUACAAUGAGAAACAGGAGAAAGGACCUGGGGCUUAUGAGGAUGCAAACAGAGCUGGCAGGAGUGCAAUGAACAGCUUGCUGGAUAUGCAGGAGCAGCAUAGAGAUGCUGUACACUCAAACCACCAUGAUGAGUGGUGGGCAUUAGUCCUUGUGCAUAUGGAUUUGAUUGUUCUCCACUGCAAAGUGCUUUCGAUCUAUCGAUCCAGGAACAAUUUCACCACUGAAAUGCAGUCGGCUGCAUUUCCCACUGCCACAGCAGCCUUGCAAGAACCCUCCCCAGUACACAAGGACAUUCCUGCUCAUGGCAGGCAGCACAGUUUGUUCCAGACACAAGAGCCCAUGGGAUCUGGUGUUUGUGCAUAGGAGAUUGGCAGGAUUUCCCAGCAAGCAGCACCCAAGUAAAUGCCUUUGAUAGACUUCUGUGAGCAAGAUCUCAUUCGAAAGCCUUGCUGCUGCUCUCCCUGUGCCAUGAAGGCUGAUGUGAACUUAACUCAAAGAGCAACACUGACCUCAGAGACGAGCACUGGCCACUGCCCAGUGUUUCCACAUUGCCGGGAAUCCUGUUUGUUUUGCUUUUCAAUUUGGUUUCAGUUCAAAUUGGAUCCAACCCAGAGUUUUUCAAAACAUCCAGUAAACUGGAAGACCCAUGGCUGCCCAGUGAGACCAGGACCGUUCCUCACUGUGCUGCUCCAAGAGGCACUGAGGCCAUUCUCUUGGGAGAUACAGGUUCCCACAGGGUCCCAGUCCUCAUAGGCCCCCUUCCCUGAGGGCAUCAGAGUUGCUGCCAGAUGCAAGGUGCUGAGGUACAGGACAGACCCUGGUCCUUCUGAGUCCCACACUGCAUCCAAUGAACACUCCCUUCCCCAAAGAACAAAAUCUUAGUGAAUGCAGCACUUGGAGAGGAAGUGCUGUGAGAAGUCAGAACAUCCUGAGACCACACAACCACACCGGUGCUGACUCACUUUGAAAAAGUCCGUGAGACCUUCUCUGAGUGACAGUAGACAGUGUGGAAAAGCCAGGAGAAGCUGAGGCACAGCACCGCCCCGAGGAAGAACAUCCCAAACACAACCUUCUCCUGGAGAGGAGCCAUGAAGUACAUGUUGGGCCGCAGCAUGGUCAGGAUCCCCAGGCAGAGGAACAACACAAAACCUGCAGAAAACAGCAAGUGGGCAGUCAGGCAGAGGCACAUCCAGCAUCGACCGAGGGAGCGCAGCAGAUGGACUGAACCCUGAGACAGGCAGAGCACACUGGCAGCAGCACAGGGAAGGUGAUAAGGGACACAUGGGGGAGAGGCCAGCAUGGCUGGCACAAAAGCAAUGCCUGGGGGCAUCUGUCUUACAAACACGAUGCCUCCUUAGUACAGCAAAGAGCCAGGAGAAUCACGGGCAUGGCUGUGUUCUGCAAGGCAGAGGCUGCAAACAUCCUGGGUUCCAAGGAAAAGUUUUACGAGACCCUCUGUUUUACCCAGAACACAUUUCUCCAUCCCAGGAACAGAAACAGCUGACCUAUAGUGCUCAAGCUCUGUGCAGCGGGAGCACAGCUCAGCCAGCUCCUGAAGACCCUGAGCCUCUAAGUCCCCAUGUAGGCCAGAACUCUGCAGAACAUCUGGCCAAGCCUCCCUUGCACUGUGAGCCCAAUGGGGCCAUCAGCUCUUGAAAAGUGCUAACACCAGCACUGAGCUCAGGUCUCAGUGCUGCUGUGAGAACUGUCCUGUUCUCCCUUCACUCAGAGGCCCAGGAGCUCCCAGCCACCAGCAACUUAACGGCCUACACGUGCAGAACCAGAGGGGUACAUGAUCCUAAAAGGAAGGCGGUAGGCACAGAGAGGACGUCAAUUAAGUCCCUUGGAGCAAACCUGUCCUUCAGAGGCAGCCCCUCGCCUUAAGCACUGGGGCAGAGCACUCCUCCAGCCCUACAGAAGCGCUGUGCAGUCCCACAGCCCCCCGCUCACCUAACAGGUGAGUCCAGAUGUUGCCCGUCUCGGUGUGUAUUCGAAAGAUGCUCUUGAAGCAGGCUCGGAAGGACGGCAUUGGAGGCCGGUGCCCGUGCAGGAGGUAAUCGUUGUCCUUCAGCCAGUCGGGCAGCACAUCGUAGGGGAUCACACGCCAGCGCCCUUCCCACACCUGCAACACACCGACUUGUGCUGGUGGCCACGGGGGCUGGCAGCAGCAGUGAGGCAGCCCAAAGGCUCAAGCUGAAUCACCCUGGGAGCUCAAGCUGCACACAACAAAACCUGCAGGUCUUGCCUACAGCCAGGGCUCAGAAGGCCCUGAAACACUCCUCUGGGGGAGGAACUUUGGCUUUCGCAAAACCCUGUGGAAUCCCUUACACCACCCACAUCCUGCGGAGCACUUCCACAUCCCCUAAGGAGCUGGAGACAAUUCACAGCAUUUAACCCUUCAGCACACUAAGUGUCCACUCCCAGCACCGGAGAAUUCCAUUUUAGUCACACAGAAAGAAGCCUGGCUGGCCACAGAACUGUGCUGGGAUUCAUGCAUUUACCAAACGUGGUGACCAUGAGCACCAGUGCUGAGCAGAGGCACCCAGCAAAACCAGCAGCAGCAUUUGAGCUCCCAGGCCCAGACGAUGCUGGUGCUGCUCCUGAGGCUGAGCACAGCCUCCAGCUGUCCCCCGGGAUCCCAAGAAGCUCCCAUACCUUAUACACAAACUCUUCCAUCUUCUCCAUAGCAUGAUGAGCCUGCAGAGGCAGCGUCAGCACACGGACAACUUCCUCCUCUUCCUCACGGGCCACUGGGCACGGCGGGUCUUCAGCGCUGGCGGUGCCGGCUGCUCCCUGCUCGCCCUUCUCCUCCAGCAGCGGCCCCAGCUCCGCCAGCUCCAGGUGGGCUCUGUCCCGGCCGGCGGCUGCCAGCCCGUUGCCCUGCGCGGCGGCGGCGGCUUUCCGGGACGCCAUGGCGGCGGCGGCG